AUGGACGUUAAUUAUUUUCCUUUCCCCUUCCCCAAUCCUAACUCUCCCAGAGCAAAAGAAACCCUCGUUAUCGUUCUGUUGAUUUCAGCCCUCUUUUAUUCUUAAUUUGAGAUCACAGUCAAUUAUUCCAAAAGCCUUCAAUCUAUUUUGAUUCACCAUCGCAUACGUCUUCCAAUUCGUCGUCUGAGUCACUGAAAUUUAUGUAACCCUAGGCACUAAAUCCUGGCUUGAAAGGGGUCGUUGUACCUCUUCAAAUAUGCCUUCGUGUCACAGAAUGCCAUCUCGUUCAGUUUGGUAAAGUUCAAUCGAGCUCUGUCCCUUGUUUCGACAAAUCAUGAUAUUGUUUUGGCGUUAAUUGUCUAGAACUGCUGUUCUAGGAAAGAUAUUAUCCUGUUAUUUGGCUAUCACUACAGUUACCAUUUGAUGAGUCUUUCUUUACAAUGAUUGCACGCUUCAACAGGUUUUCCUUCUUCUUCUUUGGUUAAAACUUAAAUGCUUCGAUUAUGCACACUGCUUAAGCUCAUUACAACCCUUAAAUUGUUCACCAUAGCCUUCAGUCGUCCCAAAUAUUUAGUUCUUUUUAUGCUCUUCUCGAACAUGGAUUUUCCCCUCUUCUGCUCUAGUUUAUAAUGUACUUUAUGCACUUGUUCGACAAGUUUAAUUGUUAGUUUUGUCUUCUGCUUUAACGAUUUUAGAAAGGGUUGUACCAGCUAUGUGAAGCAAUUUGUAAUUCAAUAUCUUGACACAUGUAAGCAUGAAGGUUACAUUUUGCUACAAGAUCCAUUCUAUGAUUUCUGUGAAGCUUUAAGUGUUGAAUCUGAUGGUUGGGACGAACUUGACAUCCAUAAUCUACUUCAAUUUUCUCCAACAGGAACUUUCUUUGUCAGUUCUUUAAUCACAAAAAGGUGAAUAGAUAUUAGUUUUGUUUAGCUCGAGUUAAUCCUAUGAGUGAAACCUUAUUUUAUUCUAUUUCAAAUGGUACUCCAUUAGCUCUAUAUCACUGACAUAAUGAUCUAGGAUAAUCUUUAAGCAGAAGAUUGCCAAAUGAACCACAGAUAUGAAACAGUAAAGAGAGGUCAAGGGAAAUGACUAGACAUGAAACAUGUCACACUUUUGUAGUAUGUCAUAUUGAAAGCUUAAACAAAGACAUCUUAGCAGGAAUUGAUUGUUCAAUUUUUGUUAAAGUUUUCUUUUGCGCUAUACAUUUAUGUAGAGAUUUUGCUGUCUUUUUUCAUCGUAAUAUUUUGAAUUAGGACCACUUUUCUUUAACAGAAUAGAGGGAAUGAACUACAAUGUUAGAAUUGAAAGACUUUGCAGGAUAUUUCCAUCGUCCCAUUGCUGUAAAUGUUAAAAAAAUGAACAUAUAUCCUACUGUGAUGAAGAAGGUUUGUAGAAGGGAUGGCUUGUUAAUAUGGCGGAAUAGGAUUUUAAUCUCUAAUAGUGUUGAAGAAAGGGCGAGUUUGAAGAUAGACGUAGCGAAGUUGGAAGAACGGACUUGCCAAACUUUUUGAAGCACCUGUUAGCUGAUUACACCUUUUUUGUCUUUGCAGAUUAGCUUAUCAUUAAUGUGCAGUUGAAGGUAGAUUUAUAGUUACGUGUUUCUUUUCUUUCUAGAUCUUUCAAUGGUAACAUUUGUCAUAAUUCAGAGGAAAUGGGUGCAGUUUAUAUUCUGUGUUUCAAAGGAAAUAGAACUAGCAUUCAUGAACUAGCAAUGGGUACUACUUCAUUGGACUUGUUCACAAUUGAAGCAAGGAUUAUUGUUGAGUGAGUUGAAGCAGCUGUAAAUGUUAAAGACCAAGUUGAAUUACGAGAGGAACCUACUUUGUUUUGCAAAGGGUUGAGUUGCCCUAUUUAGAUGUUACAAUUCUAUUCUUUUCUUUUUGGACUUUGAAAAGAAUAAUGUCAUACAAUUUGAAUAUUUAUAUAUUUUAGUCUAUGUGAUGCAUUA